rnacentral:rRNA from 1 species
AUUGAACGCUGGCGGCAGGCCUAACACAUGCAAGUCGAAUGGUAACAGGAAACAGCUUGCUGUUUCGCUGACGAGUGGCGGACGGGUGAGUAAUGUCUGGGAAACUGCCUGAUGGAGGGGGAUAACUACUGGAAACGGUAGCUAAUACCGCAUAACGUCGCAAGACCAAAGAGGGGGACCUUCGGGCCUCUUGCCAUCAGAUGUGCCCAGAUGGGAUUAGCUAGUAGGUGGGGUAACGGCUCACCUAGGCGACGAUCCCUAGCUGGUCUGAGAGGAUGACCAGCCACACUGGAACUGAGACACGGUCCAGACUCCUACGGGAGGCAGCAGUGGGGAAUAUUGCACAAUGGGCGCAAGCCUGAUGCAGCCAUGCCGCGUGUAUGAAGAAGGCCUUCGGGUUUUAAAGUACUUUCAGCGGGGAGGAAGGGAGUAAAGUUAAUGCCUUUGCUCAUUGACGUUACCCGCAGAAGAAGCACCGGCUAACUCCGUG